UCUGGCUCUGCCAUGUGACGCUGCCUCAGCAUGGCUUGAUGAAUGGUACUAGGUCCGCGCCCAGGAUCCGAACUGGUGAAACCCUGGGCUGCCGAUGUGGAGCACGUGAACUUAACCACUCAGCCACAGGGCCGGCACCUAUUUAUACUACUUUUUAAGGAAAGAGUAUGUUAGAAUAAAAUAAUAUGUCUACUUUAACAAAAUAAUCCAAUUUACAAGGAGGGCUGUUACUCAAAUCUAACAUUAAAUUAACAUUAAGGCACUCUUUGAACAAAGUAUAAAUUAAUAGAUAUUUUAUCUUUUAGAAUUAAGGCAGAAGAUAAUAACAAACCCAAGUUAGAAAUCUCAAAAUAAUUGUGAGUCUUCUCACCACCCCCCUCACACACACAGCCACCUCUCCCAUCCAUGCUGCACACUGUAGGGAGAGUUAUUUUUCUAAAAUAAAAAUAUGAUAAUUCCCAUGCCCAUCUCAAAAAGUUCCAAUGGCUUUCACCAUUACCUAAAAAUAAUGUACCAAUGCCUUCUCAAUUUGGCUGGAAUUUAGCUUUCUUGCCUUAUUUCUUGCCAAUUCUCACUCCUUUUUACCUCUCUCAUCACUCAGGAAGCUUCCACUCCAGUCCAAGCAGAUCACUCAGGGUUCCCCUAACAUUUGUUGCUACUGUCAGUCCUUUGCCUAAAUGCUCCUUGUCAUUUCUCCACGCAACUCAAACCAUCCUUCUAGACCUAAUGCAAGUGAUGCCCUCUUCCCUUCCCCAUGGCACGUUGUCAUUUCUCAACAAUGGAAUUCUUUAAAACUUCUAACAGGUGUUUUUGUCACUUGCAUAGAUAUCUGUAACAUACACUAGCUUCUGGGCUCAAAUUUUAUCCAUCUUUUGCAACAUAGAAUCAUGCCCCUAAUUGGGGAACAAGAAAUGUUGGAUUUGAAUUAAGUGAUCACAGAGAGUAUGCUUUUGACACUAAUUUGCCUUGGGAAGCUGAGAAUAAUAUCUACACUGGCCACUCUUUACAUUUUCUGUAUGUUGAAGGAAUUUAGUUGGAAGUGGUGCAUAGGAUUCUCAAAGACACCAAUUCCUUUAGCUGAUCUCUGGAAUCGUUUUUCUUAAAGCUCUUUUCUCCCUCCAAUCCCAGCUCAGACUAAAGAAAACAUCACUCUCUUUGACCACUCUGUUACAGUUGUAAGUGAUGACACUUCAUCCAGCGAUUCGGCUAUUGAGGGGUUAAACCUGGUAACAGAUGAAGCAGGGGGUUUGCAGCCAACUUCAGGAAUGGUCUCCUCUUGCAAGUGUUUUAAACGUCCCGGGCAAACUGCUAGGUCUGGAUCAUGGGCUUCUCCCUCAACGUUGCCUCUGCGGCUGUGUGGUAGCGUGAGACUGAUAACAGCACCACACAUAGCACCUGCCGUGCAGCAGGCAGUGUCCUGAGAGCUUUUCUCACAUGUCUCAUUUAGUUCUCACUAUGACCCCGCAAGGUCAUCCAGCUAGUUAGUGGCUCGGAGCCUCACUUCAGCAGCCUGGCUCCAGGUGUGUGCUCUUAACACCU
rnacentral:lncRNA from 1 species